rnacentral:rRNA from 1 species
CACGUAGGGUGCGAGCGUUGUCCGGAAUUAUUGGGCGUAAAGAGCUCGUAGGCGGUGUGUCGCGUCGGCCGUGAAAACCUGCAGCUUAACUGUGGGCUUGCGGUCGAUACGGGCAUCACUGGAGUUCGGCAGGGGAGACUGGAAUUCCUGGUGUAGCGGUGAAAUGCGCAGAUAUCAGGAGGAGCACCGGUGGCGAAGGCGGGUCUCUGGGCCGAUACUGACGCUGAGGAGCGAAAGCGUGGGGAGCAAACAGG